GACGAACCACCCAAACGUUAUUCGGAAUUACUGGGCUUAAAGGGUGCGUAGGCGGCGUGGAAAGUUGGGUGUGAAAUCCCUCGGCUCAACCGAGGAACUGCGCUCAAAACUACCGUGCUCGAGGAAGACAGAGGUAAGCGGAACUUCGGGUGGAGCGGUGAAAUGCGUUGAUAUCGAGAGGAACACCUGCGGCGAAGGCGGGUUGCUGGGCUGACACUGACGCUGAGGCGCGAAAGCUAGGGGAGCGAACGGG
rnacentral:rRNA from 1 species